rnacentral:rRNA from 1 species
GACGAACGCUGGCGGCGUGCCUAAUACAUGCAAGUAGAACGCUGAAGGAGGAGCUUGCUUCUCCGGAUGAGUUGCGAACGGGUGAGUAACGCGUAGGUAACCUGCCUGGUAGCGGGGGAUAACUAUUGGAAACGAUAGCUAAUACCGCAUAAGAGUAGAUAUUGCAUGAUAUCUGCUUAAAAGGUGCAAUUGCAUCACUACCAGAUGGACCUGCGUUGUAUUAGCUAGUUGGUGAGGUAACGGCUCACCAAGGCGACGAUACAUAGCCGACCUGAGAGGGUGAUCGGCCACACUGGGACUGAGACACGGCCCAGACUCCUACGGGAGGCAGCAGUAGGGAAUCUUCGGCAAUGGACGGAAGUCUGACCGAGCAACGCCGCGUGAGUGAAGAAGGUUUUCGGAUCGUAAAGCUCUGUUGUAAGAGAAGAACGAGUGUGAGAGUGGAAAGUUCACACUGUGACGGUAUCUUACCAGAAAGGGACGGCUAACUACGUGCCAGCAGCCGCGGUAAUACGUAGGUCCCGAGCGUUGUCCGGAUUUAUUGGGCGUAAAGCGAGCGCAGGCGGUUAGAUAAGUCUGAAGUUAAAGGCUGUGGCUUAACCAUAGUACGCUUUGGAAACUGUUUAACUUGAGUGCAAGAGGGGAGAGUGGAAUUCCAUGUGUAGCGGUGAAAUGCGUAGAUAUAUGGAGGAACACCGGUGGCGAAAGCGGCUCUCUGGCUUGUAACUGACGCUGAGGCUCGAAAGCGUGGGGAGCAAACAGG